AUCUUUUUUUGUCCUUCCUUUAAUCACAAAGUGACCAAAUAGAGUCAUACACAACAUGAAUUCAGACAUACCGAGAUUAAUUAAUUUCAUUUAUGGAAAUGAUUCAAGUUACAAAAUGCACUCAAACACAUGAAAUACUUAUUAUCAUAUAAAUUAAGGCUGUGAACUUUAAUGUUUUUCUUUUCCCAUAAAACGAUUUAUGCUUGAUUUUCCAUGGUUGAAUUGUUUUAAUUUUUGUUUGAUACAUUUUCAUACAAACUCAAUGAUUGUUAUAUAUUAUAAUAACUGUAAUAGUGAAAAAAGAUGCAGAUUUUAGGAUUGAAGGGGCAGGAAAAGUACAACUAAAAAUUAAGAAAAGAUUUCCAUCUUCAAAGCCUAAUUCCCAAAAGUCAUAGUUGACUGUUGGGUCUAUGACUUGUUUUGCAUAAUUAUCUUGGCAGAAGCUGUUGACGGAGGGAGGGUCCAAGUAAUUCUGGUAGAAAAAGAAGUGGAUCUUGUCUCCCAGGUCCAGGUACGAGAGGUUUCUAUUCCUGUGGAUUGUUGUUAUUUCUCUAUUCCUGGCUGAUAGAGUAUGGCCUCUCUGGAAUAGUUCUUUGGACAAUUUCUUAUUUCUUCAUAUGCCCAACUCUCAUUCUCCAGGUGCAACACAUUUAUUCUUCUUCUUCUAUAUAACUUGGAGAUAUGGAAGUUAGUUAAAAUCUCCUUGGUUAAUUGUAUAUCUUAAAAUCUACAAGUCAUCCUCCAUUUUAAGAAAUAGGUGUAUUCUUUUGUUAAGUUCUGCACCAGUUUUUAGAGGUAAAUACUACUAAAAUCGAAGCGCAUGCUCUGAUUCACAGGGUUUUUGACUUCAAAACUCUCGCUUCUACAAGAAAUUUUUGAUCAAUCAUGGCCAUAUUUUCCACUCGUCAGCCUACUUCGAUGGCUGGCCAGCAAAUCCCAGUACUCAAUUCCGCUCUCUAUCCUUGGUUGCAUAACAUUCGUAAUACUUGGUGUCUGAUGGUUCCUGUUUUGCAAAAUAUGCACCCCUUAUUGAUUGUACGAUGGUGUACUGGAGAUUGCCUUGAUUAGGAUCCUACAAAUGGAACUAGGAUGGUACAGUAAAAGGAGUUGGUGGCCCUAGUGCUGGGGACUUUUAUAUUAGAAAUGGUUAAGGAAAUUUGAUACAUGCUGAGUAUUGUGGUUUGGGAAUAACUUCAGUUAUAAUGUCUAAGUCAAUGGCUUUGCGGAGAGGACUGAAGUAGUAUAUAAUGCAUCGAUAUUUACGAGUAAUAUUUGAGGCUGACUCAUUAAUGCUCCAAAAAAUUUUGAACGGAAUUUAGGAGGUUCCUUGGAGUAGUCAGGUGGAGGUGAAAAGGAUCAAUGGUUUGAGAAUUAAUGUUGAUGCAAGAGUGGAGCACAUCCUUAGGGAAGCAACACUUCUGCAGAUUAUUUAGCUAACCAGUUUUUUCUUUUUACAGGUACAACAACUAUCAUCUAUUCAAAUUUUGCAAGAGUUACCACCAAAAAGGAAAGCAAUAUUACUCAUGGGUAAAACAAAAACUCCCAGUCCUAGAAUUAGAAACAUCCAAAACAGGGGUUUCAAUACACAAACAUAAUUGAGACAAACAAGAACAACAAGACAUGGAUGACAAAAGAAUAUCAAAAGGCGAUGUGGUAUCCAAAUUGAAGUAUAACAGUGCACAAAGAUGAAAGAGGAGAAAACAGUGUUCAUUUAACUUCAUUUUGUGGUUUAGAUCAGAUCAAUCCGAGUUGAAAAAGUCUUCAAAGGAUCUAAUUUCAUGGAACUUGUGAGUGUUUUGAGUGUCUUCAGUGAAAUUUGUCAAAAUUCUGAUCCAUUUCAAUCUAUUUCUAUAUAUAAGAGGUACUUAAACUAUCUUCUAUCGUCUUCUCACUACUACCUUCAUCGUAGAGAUAGAUUUCUCCAACAAUGGAGCAGAUUGGAGUCAUCCAAGGAAUUGAUAACUUGAGAAUCAGAAAAAUGCAAAAUAAAAAAUAUGUCUACAGUGAUAAUGAUACUAAUGCACAAUACGACAAGCAACAAGAGUAUUUCAGGUGAAGCACACAUAAAAGGAAAGCAUAUUGGAUUUAUCAAGAUAUAUAAAUCUAAAAGUCAGUAAAGCAGUGUACUUAAAGGAAUGAUCUCUGGGAAAGUUAAUAAGAAUUACCUGGCCUAUGCAUUGGUAUUAGUUAAGGUUUCUGACUCAAUUUGCAGGAAAGGGUAAAACUUAGAAACGGAGCUCAACGUUCGUUUACAACAUCAAAAGAGAGUUAGGGAGUAGAUCGAUUCUUACCAAAGUUGUUCAAGCUGAGUGGAUUCAGUGGAAUGGAAACGGAUGAAACACAGUUGGCUGCAGCAGGUGAUGACUCGAUUUCACUCCAAGGUAGCACCUCGUCUUCAUCCUCCAUUGAACCUCAAGCUUGAAGACGACCAACUUUGUUUCCUUUCGUUGAUUAUUCAUUUCUGUAUUUUGUUUUUGGGCGAGAUCAUGUUAUGAUCUGGUUGUUCCUUUUUAGUUUCUAAUAAAUGGUCCCUAAGACCCGCUUUGAUUAAAAAAAAAAAGAGGUACAUACUAGUGGUGUAUCUAUGUGAAGAUUAUAUUCCCCAAGCCUGUUAAUUAUUUUCCUUCUUUGUAGAACAUGUCACUUAUAUUAGACUUACUUCAAUUUGUAGGUUCA